AAAACUAAUAGGGAAAAUUACAAAAAUAACCCGAAAACAAUAAAAUGUACUUUUAGAGGCCCAAACGAUAAAAUUUGACCAAAAAACCCUGCAGCUCACGAGCGCAGCGCUUGUGAAUUUUGAUCGUUGACCCGUUUCCAAAGAAAUUAGGCUCCGAAAACGCGAAAAUCCGGCACUUCAAACUUGGCAAAAACUACCAAAUUGCCACUGGAUCAAAUCUUUCCACCAUCUAUCAAAAUCUUUCCAUAAAAAUGACACGCUUGCUCUUCAACCGCAUCAGUGACCCCUUGGGAAGUCUUCGUGUUGCACCUCUUUUUUUUUUUUUUUGUGUAAUUCGG
rnacentral:lncRNA from 1 species